GCGAACCGCAGAUAAAUUGUUUUUAUAUAUCUUGUAUGAUUUCCUGUAAAAUAUUGUGCAGGGAUGCUGAGCAAGAGCUUGCGACCAAUAUCCGCCGUCUGCAAAUUGAACAGUGAGCUUCUUAAAACUAACCAAAAGAUGGAGAGGCAGCUUGGCGACACCAGAGCCAACCUGGCUGCCUCCAGGCAAGAGUGCAGCGGCCUGAAGCAAUCCAUUGCACAGGUUCCAAUCUGAAGUCCAUCCAGAUGAUUCUUAAUAAGACAGCAGACGGUACAGGCAUAGACUCCAACACCCUGGCCUUACAGAUGAAGGGCCAUCCUGAGCUGAGGGACAAGCUUCAUGUCGUCACCUCUUGAGGGCCUUUGCCUGUCUACCCUGGGGUGGUCAACUCAGAAUUACCUGAGGAUCUCAAGACAUCUAUCACCAGGCAUCUUCUCAACAUGCAUCUCGACCCCAAAUGGCAAGCUCAACUGAACCAAUACAUGGUGUCCAAA
rnacentral:lncRNA from 1 species